CGGGGACAUCCAGAGAACAAGUGACUUUUUCCUGAUCUGCGAAAGCUGUCACAGCAGGACAGCCGGGGAAGCUGCUCUCCUCUGCUCCUGACUGAGGGAUUGUGGUGACCUGCUGGAGAUCAGCUUCCUCUUGGCACAUAGUGUUUGGUGAACUCUCAAGGCACCAUGCAUCGCCAGCUGAACCCGGGCAUUUGGAUCUCUUUCCUCAUGUCUGUCGUGCUCUCAAGCUAUCCAGCAUCCAUGGCACAAUUUUACAGCAGCCCCCCAGCAAACAUAACCAAAGUCCCCGGCGAGUCUGUUUGUUUCGUCUGUGGAGUGUCGCCCAAAGGAGCCAACAUGUCGUUGAACUUCACCCUCUACAACAGCCAGAGCAACAGCACCCUGAGGUGCCCUUCAGACAAGACCUCUCAGCCCUCACAGGUCAUAAAUGGCUACUGUGAGGUCAAAGAACAGGAACUGCGUGCAGUGUGGUGCUUCACCUCCAUCAAGGUUAAUGACAAUGGAACUUACGUUGUGUGCCAGGGCACACAUCUACCAUCAGCCUAUGGGUUCCUCAACGUACAGGACAAUAAAAGCUACUUUGCCAUGUUUAUCGGCUGUGUGAUGGGCGGUUUCAUCGGCUUCAUCAUCGUCUUUGGCCUGGCCUUCAUUGCACUCAAGCGUUCUGAGAGGUUCCAGAACUGUUUCAAGGGAAGGUCACCUCAAGAUGAUAUAACAACAAUAGUUGAAGAAAGCAGUAAAUCGGACUGUAAAUAGGAUGCCACCCAAGAACUUUGUAGCUAUAUAUUGAUACAGUGCCAUUGUCUUUGUCCUACUGUAAUUUUUCUGUACAUAGAUUUAUGCCGCAUUACUCUCAACAGGUUUGAAAAUGUUUGUUCUUAUGUAUUCCAGCUCCAGAUGCCUGGGAUGUAUGCUUCUCAGAGAUUUUAAAGUAAUUCUUUCACCAAAAUUUUGUUUUCAUAGAUGGCACUAAGUUGCCAAACUGUACAUCAUAUUUUGUGUAAUGCAGGAUGCUCUCAGUGUAAGGUUGACAGAGUGAAUUAUACAUGAUUUGGACCAGCAGGUGGCAUCACAUUAGUUUUUACUCCAGAUCCAAGGAAAUAACCCUGUUAAAAAUGAGUUUUGCAGAUUUUUUACAUUCUUUGCUCAUAUUUUUGCUUACUCUAACUUUUCCUCAUUGCAGUUGCUGAGAUUGAAAGUUAUGUAGAAUUUAUUUCACCAUACGUAGUAAAUUUAAAAUAAUAAACAUUUCAAAUGUCAUUUUAUUUGCUGUUUG
rnacentral:lncRNA from 1 species